AGCGAACGCUGGCGGCAGGCCUAGCACAUGCAAGUCGAACGAAGUCUUCGGACUUAGUGGCGGACGGGUGAGUAACACGUGGGAACGUGCCUUUAGGUUCGGAAUAACUCAGGGAAACUUGUGCUAAUACCGAAUGUGCCCUUCGGGGGAAAGAUUUAUCGCCUUUAGAGCGGCCCGCGUCUGAUUAGCUAGUUGGUGAGGUAAAGGCUCACCAAGGCUACGAUCAGUAGCUGGUCUGAGAGGAUGACCAGCCACAUUGGGACUGAGACACGGCCCAAACUCCUACGGGAGGCAGCAGUGGGAAAUCUUGCGCAAUGGGCGAAAGCCUGACGCAGCCAUGCCGCGUGGAUGAUGAAGGUCUUAGGAUUGUAAAAUCCUUUCACCGGUGAAGAUAAUGACUGUAGCCGGAGAAGAAGCCCCGGCUAACUUCGUGCCAGCAGCAGCCGCAGUAA
rnacentral:rRNA from 1 species